UGGAGAGUUUGGCAGGUAGCGUGGCAGUGGGUAAUAUUUUGUCCAGUUGUCGCCUUCCUGGGAGGGGUGACACGGAAACUUGUUAACGCAUCAUUGACCAAUGAAAUUAAUUGCAGGUAAGAGCUUAUGUG